GUCAGAAUUACAAUCUUGUAUUGUAGAGGGUAUCUAUUCACUAUGAUGCUCAACAUGCUUUUUUGGGCCUCAUACCUAGCUCUCUAUAUUUUCCCGAAUGUGGGGAAUUAUGUGGCAAUUGUAAUGCUCAUGUGUAGACCAGGGUAUGGUAUGAGAAUUGCCUUAUUGGUCUACUAUGUCUAUCGCAUUAUGACCUCUGAGGCAAUGAACAUGAUUUGGAAUAUGUACUCAAUUCUGUUUGCUUGUCCUAAUCUAGGCUGCUACAUCUGGGGCCUCGGCAACCUCACCCAGCCCCUGGGGGGAGGGGUAAAGAUUGAUUUUUUCCAACCUUUCAGGCUUGACACAGCAGUUUUUGAAAAUGUUAAAUUCCCUCUGGAUGCCAAGGACAGCAUAAUGUUGUUGUUAGUUCUUCUUUGUCUCCUCUGCACAGUCUGCAACAUGCUUAGAAACAAAACACUACAUAGUGUGAUGCAGCAAAACAUACAUAGUGUGGUGCAGCGUCUUCUUGAGGAAGAGGAAACAAGAAGCAAAGCAGCAGUGUCCGUGCCUGUACAGAAUACCACAACAGCAGCCAUGUCAACGCAGACUGCCACAGAGAAAGAAGGAACCAAAAGGAAAACAACAGUGUCCGUGUCUACGCAGACUGUCAUGGAGGAAGAAACAAAAAGCAAAGCAAAGGUGUCUAUGUCUACACAGACCGGCACAGAGGAGGAAGGAAUCGAAAGCGCCAUCAGCAUCUCCACACAAACCAUCACCAAACCAGAGCAGCCUGAACCCAUAGGGGUUGCCCCUGUUCAGAAGAAGAAAUCGAGGAGCAAAUCAGUCCGCAUAGUGACUGACGAGGACACUGCAGGACCCUCGCACCCAGUGGAAGAGACAGAACCAGAGAUCAUCACUCGCUCUCUAUCCCUGGGUGAGCUACGUGACCUGCGGAGAGAAUUCACCCGCCAGACAAAUGAGUCCAUCCUCACCUGGCUUCUCCGCAUCUGGGACGCUGCAGCCAAUGACACCAUUCUGGAUGGAAGUGAGGCCAGGCAACUGGGAUCACUAUCCCGGGAUGUGGUCAUUGACCAGGGGAUUGGGAGAACCCAAGAAACUCUCAGCCUCUGGCGGCGACUGCUUGCAAGUGUGAAGGACAGAUACCUUUGUAAAGAAGACCUCCAGGUACUCCAAGGAAAAUGGAAUACCAUGGAACAAGGUAUCCGAUGCCUAAGGGAAUUGGCUGUGUUGGAGAUAAUUUUUGCAGAAGACGAAAGAUUUCCUAAGAGUCCAGACUGUGUCCAGUGCACAUCACAAAUGUGGUUGAGAUUUGCACGGCUUGGACCAGAGAUGUACGCUCGUUACCUGGCAACACUGCAGUGGAGAGAAGGCGAGGACAGGGUGGGCGUCCUAGCCAAUAAGUUAAGAAUUUACGAGGACACGGUCACCGCCCCGUUUCGUACCCAUGUCUCGUCCGUGGAAACAAGGUUGGCUGAGCAAGUCCGG
rnacentral:lncRNA from 1 species